AUCAAGUUAGUUUAAUUAAAAUAUUGGUCUGUCUAAUCGAAGAGGCUCUUUGUAAUAGGGUACUUGGUG
rnacentral:tRNA from 1 species